rnacentral:rRNA from 1 species
GACGAACCGUGCUAACGUUAUUCGGAAUCACUGGGCUUAAAGGGCGCGUAGGCGGGCAAGCAAGUCGAAGGUGAAAUCCCACGGCUCAACCGUGGAAGUGCCCCCGAUACUGCUUGUCUGGAGGGAGAUAGGGGCGUGCGGAACUUCCGGUGGAGCGGUGAAAUGCGUAGAUAUCGGAAGGAACACCGGUGGCGAAAGCGGCGCGCUGGAUCUCUUCUGACGCUGAGGCGCGAAAGCCAGGGGAGCAAACGGG